UAUAAACUCGAAUCAUUCAAAUAUCACCAAACACAGAAAAAUUAGAAAAUAUUUCUAAAAGAUGAAGCUGGUUAUGAUUCUUGUAGCCUUCUUGCUCGUUCCCCCGAUGUUUUCUUCAGGGAUCGCUGAGACUUCGUAUCUUGACAACGUCAACUAUGAGGUUAAAGAGGAGAUGGUGAUGAAUAGAAGAAGAGUCGAUCUAGAGAUGGAUUACACUGGGCCGCCCACACCUCCAAAAGCACCAUCAGUACAUGCCUAUAACAAGAAAAAUUAGUUGACCAUUACAAGCAUAAAAGUAUCACAAAGCAUAUCAUUCAAUGA